rnacentral:rRNA from 1 species
UACGAAGGGGGCUAGCGUUGUUCGGAAUUACUGGGCGUAAAGCGCGCGCAGGCGGCUUUCCAAGUCAGUGGUGAAAGCCCGGAGCUCAACUCCAGAACUGCCUUUGAUACUGGCGAUCUUGAGUCCGGGAGAGGUGAGUGGAACUCCGAGUGUAGAGGUGAAAUUCGUAGAUAUUCGGAAGAACACCAGUGGCGAAGGCGGCUCACUGGCCCGGUACUGACGCUGAUGUGCGAAAGCGUGGGGAGCAAACAGG